rnacentral:rRNA from 1 species
UCGAACGGAAGUCUUCGGACUUUAGUGGCGGACGGGUGGGUAACGCGUGAGAACCUACCCUUAGGACGGGGAUAACAGCUGGAAACGGCUGCUAAUACCCGAUGUGCCGAGAGGUGAAAGAUUUAUUGCCUGAGGAAGGGCUCGCGUCCGAUUAGCUAGUUGGAGUGGUAAUGGCACCCCAAGGCGACGAUCGGUAGCUGGUCUGAGAGGAUGAUCAGCCACACUGGGACUGAGACACGGCCCAGACUCCUACGGGAGGCAGCAGUGGGGAAUUUUCCGCAAUGGGCGCAAGCCUGACGGAGCAAUACCGCGUGCGGGAGGACGGCCUUUGGGUUGUAAACCGCUUUUCUCAGGGAAGAAGUUCUGACGGUACCUGAGGAAUCAGCAUCGGCUAACUCCGUGCCAGCAGCCGCGGUAAUACGGGGGAUGCAAGCGUUAUCCGGAAUUAUUGGGCGUAAAGCGUCCGCAGGUGGUUUGUCAAGUCUGCUGUUAAAGCGUGGAGCUUAACUCCAUAUCGGCGGUGGAAACUGAUGAACUAGAGGGUGGUAGGGGUCACGGGAAUUCCCAGUGUAGCGGUGAAAUGCGUAGAUAUUGGGAAGAACACCAGCGGCGAAAGCGCGUGACUGGGCCAUUACUGACACUCAUGGACGAAAGCUAGGGGAGCGAAAGGGAUUAGAUACCCCUGUAGUCCUAGCCGUAAACGAUGGACACUAGGUGUUGCCCGAUCGACCCGGGCAGUGCCGUAGCUAACGCGUUAAGUGUCCCGCCUGGGGAGUACGCACGCAAG